rnacentral:antisense_RNA from 1 species
AAAUAAUCGGUCAGCAGGGAGCUUCGAUCUGCGGGGAAUGCGAACUGCCAGUCCCUAUUCCCGCCCUUAAGGUGGCCAAAAGGCUGACUCCCUCCAAGCACCCCGCCCGCGCCUCCAUCGCCCCCACCCACGUCCCACUCGCCAGCUGCGGACUGAACCCUCACUCUCAAGGGGGUGUAGCCUCAGGGGAUCUUCGGCAAAGAGGUAACGGGGCUUGAAUUUACCACAACUCUGCGGCCACGUUUUCAAAUUUGGAAAAGAUGAGAAAAGAAGGUUCAGGCGAUUUAUGCGAGAAAGGGCCAAUUUGAACACUGGUAACUAGUGGGAGAAAUAAACUUAUAAGCCACAAACACAUCGGUUCGCAACCGAGCCCACAGCCCCGCGAGGCGCCCCUUCUUCCCAGCUCCCGGAGGAUAACUUCAUUGACUGGCAGGUCGGCGGCCACUUCUGGGAGGGCCACUGUUUACCGAAUGAGAACCUCUCAUCGCACAGUCCUUACAGCAGGGCUGCCUGUCGCCCUUGCGCGUCCGGGUGCCGGGUCCCGGCGGUGUUCUGCAGCGCGAUCCGGUCCCCGUGCCCUGAGCCACCCAGAGCCCUGGGCCUGCCUGCACCCUGGGGCGCGCUGACUCCCUGGGUCGGGUGGGGGUCCCGGCAGGAUGCACUUCCAGCUGCGGGGUCCGCGGAGUUUGCUCGCACCUGGUUUGGC